UGCGGAGGGAUCAUUACCGAGUUAUACAACUCAUCAACCCUGUGAACAUACCUAAAACGUUGCUUCGGCGGGAACAGACGGCCCCGUAACACGGGCCGCCCCCGCCAGAGGACCCCCUAACUCUGUUUCUAUUAUGUUUCUUCUGAGUAAAACAAGCAAAUAAAUUAAAACUUUCAACAACGGAUCUCUUGGCUCUGGCAUCGAUGAAGAACGCAGCGAAAUGCGAUAAGUAAUGUGAAUUGCAGAAUUCAGUGAAUCAUCGAAUCUUUGAACGCACAUUGCGCCCGCCAGUAUUCUGGCGGGCAUGCCUGUUCGAGCGUCAUUACAACCCUCAGGCCCCCGGGCCUGGCGUUGGGGAUCGGCGAGGCGCCCCCUGCGGGCACACGCCGUCCCCCAAAUACAGUGGCGGUCCCGCCGCAGCUUCCAUUGCGUAGUAGCUAACACCUCGCAACUGGAGAGCGGCGCGGCCACGCCGUAAAACACCCAACUUCUGAAUGUUGACCUCGAAUCAGGUAGGAAUACCCGCUGAACU
rnacentral:misc_RNA from 1 species